UACGUAGGGGGCAAGCGUUGUCCGGAAUCAUUGGGCGUAAAGCGCGUGUAGGCGGCUCGGUAAGUCUGCUGUGAAAGUCCAGGGCUCAACCCUGGGAUGCCGGUGGAUACUGUCGAGCUCGAGUCCGGAAGAGGCGAGUGGAAUUCCUGGUGUUGCGGUGAAAUGCGCAGAUAUCAGGAGGAACACCAAUGGCGAAGGCAGCUUUCUGGGACGGUACUGACGCUGAGACGCGAAAGCGUGGGGAGCGAACAGG
rnacentral:rRNA from 1 species